AAGAUGGCGGGGAAGAAGAAUGUUCUGUCGUCCCUCGCGGUUUACGCGGAAGAUUCAGAGCCCGAGUCUGAUGGCGAGGCUGGAAUCGAGGCGGUGGGCAGCGCGGCUGAGGAGAAAGGCGGAUUGGUAUCUGAUGCCUAUGGGGAGGAUGACUUUUCUCGUCUAGGGGGUGAUGAAGAUGGUUAUGAAGAAGAAGAAGAUGAGAACAGUAGACAGUCGGAAGAUGACGAUUCAGAGACUGAAAAACCUGAGGCUGAUGACCCAAAGGAUAAUACAGAAGCAGAAAAGCGAGACCCCCAGGAACUCGUGGCCUCCUUUUCUGAAAGAGUUCGGAACAUGUCGCCUGAUGAAAUCAAGAUCCCGCCAGAACCCCCUGGCAGAUGUUCAAAUCACUUGCAAGACAAGAUCCAGAAGCUUUAUGAACGAAAGAUAAAGGAGGGAAUGGAUAUGAACUACAUUAUCCAAAGGAAGAAAGAAUUUCGGAACCCUAGCCAAGGCCCAGAAGAUUGAGAUGGACAAAUUGGAAAAGGCCAAAAAGGAGCGAACGAAAGCUUGUUGCAGGGACGUGUCUGCAGCGCCUGGGGACCGGAGCUGUCCUUCCCCUGUGCGGGCGGGCACCGCCUCCUCCUGGGUGUGAGGAGGAGGGGCCUGGCCAAACGGUUCUGGGCAUGUGAGGUGGGGCGGUG
rnacentral:sRNA from 1 species